rnacentral:rRNA from 1 species
CCUACGGGAGGCAGCAGUGAGGAAUAUUGGUCAAUGGGCGAGAGCCUGAACCAGCCAAGUAGCGUGCAGGAUGACGGCCCUAUGGGUUGUAAACUGCUUUUAUGCGGGGAUAAAGUGUGGGACGUGUCCCUUUUUGUAGGUACCGCAUGAAUAAGGACCGGCUAAUUCCGUGCCAGCAGCCGCGGUAAU